rnacentral:rRNA from 1 species
GUCGAGCGGUAACAGGUCCUUCGGGAUGCUGACGAGCGGCGGACGGGUGAGUAAUGCAUAGGAAUCUGCCCGAUAGUGGGGGAUAACCUGGGGAAACCCAGGCUAAUACCGCAUACGUCCUACGGGAGAAAGGGGGCUCCGGCUCCCGCUAUGGGAUGAGCCUAUGUCGGAUUAGCUAGUUGGUGAGGUAACGGCUCACCAAGGCCACGAUCCGUAGCUGGUCUGAGAGGAUGAUCAGCCACAUCGGGACUGAGACACGGCCCGAACUCCUACGGGAGGCAGCAGUGGGGAAUAUUGGACAAUGGGGGCAACCCUGAUCCAGCCAUGCCGCGUGUGUGAAGAAGGCCCUCGGGUUGUAAAGCACUUUCAGCGAGGAAGAACGCCUAGCGGUUAAUACCCGCUAGGAAAGACAUCACUCGCAGAAGAAGCACCGGCUAACUCCGUGCCAGCAGCCGCGGUAAUACGGAGGGUGCAAGCGUUAAUCGGAAUUACUGGGCGUAAAGCGCGCCUAGGUGGCUUGAUAAGCCGGUUGUGAAAGCCCCGGGCUCAACCUGGGAACGGCAUCCGGAACUGUCAAGCU